rnacentral:lncRNA from 1 species
UUCCCUUCCUUAUCAGGGACCAAUGGAUACCCUAUUGAUUCAUGAUUGUUUAUAAGGAGGUUGUCAAUAACGGAAACGUUUUCGAUUGACUUAGGAUGAUUACUCUGUCUAAAAUGCAGAUACACUCUUGGAGGACCUAUCGCAAGUAGCACUGAUAGAAGAUGUGGUCUAUUGACUCAUCACUGUCCGACCAUCCCUCUCGAAACUUCAACGAUCAAGAGUAGGAGAUUUAUUUUCCUCACACUCGAGGCCCAGAUUCCGAAAGCAAUGAUGUCGAUGGGCAUCCUUGGCCGUAUUGAUUCAUUUAACGAUUUGUUCUAGCUAGGAUACUUUGAUUGAUGACAAUAUAUUCGUGGCGGAAUUCUACCAUAUAUAAAUUCUAUCGUAAGUUCGAGAAAGAUCGGAUAUCGCAAGUAAGCCUGAAGUCUCAACCAGACCUAGAUUGGGUCAAUCUAUCAUCUUUAUAGGCUCACGAUACUUGUAAAGAUCGAAUGGCAACCCAACCGGCCCGAGAACAAGUAUAAAAACAACUGAAGUUAGGAUCAGUUGUUCAAUUUCACUUUUGUUUCAUUCUAGUAAGAUUUACUCUUUCUCGUCUUUGCGAUUUUGAGUUCAUUGAAUUGCAUCUUAGGUUCUACGUUCUGCAAUUUCUGAUGUGAUAAUUUCUUUUCAAUUUUCAGAUAAUUUGUUGUAAUCAUUCUUGAAUUACUUUUUUCCAUUCAAUUUGUUAAAUCCUGGUAAUCUAUUUUUCAAUUCCUGUUGUUCUUGAUUCAAUUUGUUAAUCUGAAUUUGUACCUAAAUCUCUGUCAAUUUCAAUCUUUUCUUCAUAACAAUUCAGUAUUGGAUCAAUUGAAUUCAAUCAAACCAAAUUUUAUGUUCAAAACAAUCCUGUCUCAUAUUGACUUUUUUAAAAUUUGGUGGCCGAAACUCACGACCAAUUCUGGAUCAAAACAAAUUUUCGACGCCAUAAUUAAUUGAUUGUUUGGAUUGAUAUGUUCUUUGCAGAUGUGGUUUAUUGACUUUAGUUAGAUAUUUCCAAAAUUGAUUUCAAUUUUCAACACAUUAAUAUUAUAAAACAAUGAGACUGAAUCUAAAACUUGAUAAGUUCUGACUAAUUCUUAUAAAAUAAUGAAUUAAUAUUCUGAUACUCAAAAUAAAAUAUCUCGAAGGUAAAUCAACUAUUUUUAAAAUUAUCUGUUUUUUUUUUUUAAUCUUUUGCAGAAGACAUCUUAAGAUCAUAUCUCGAGAAGGAUAAACGAUCGAAAUGAAAUAAUUCAUUUAGAUAUCUCACUUGAAUUAAUAAUCUUCAAUUAAAUCAAU